CUGACACAGGUGCUGCAUGGCUGUCGUCAGCUCGUGUCGUGAGGUGUUGGGUUAAGUCCGUAACGAGCGCAACCCUUGUCCUUAGUUACCAGCACGUUAUGGUGGGCACUCUAAGGAGACUGCCGGUGACAAACCGGAGGAAAGGUGGGGAUGACGUCAAGUCAUCAUGGCCCUUACGGCCUGGGCUACACACGUGCUACAAUGGUCGGGUACAAAGGGUUGCCAAGCCGCGAGGUGGAGCUAAUCCCAUAAAACCGAUCGUAGUCCGGAUCGCAGUCUGCAACUCGACUGCGUGAAGUCGGAAUCGCUAGUAAUCGUGAAUCAGAAUGUCACGGUGAAUACGUUCCCGGGCCUU
rnacentral:rRNA from 1 species